rnacentral:rRNA from 1 species
UACAGAGGGUGCGAGCGUUAAUCGGAAUAACUGGGCGUAAAGGGUGCGUAGGCGGAUUUUUAAGUCAGAUGUGAAAGCCCCGGGCUCAACCUGGGAACUGCAUUUGAAACUGGAGAUCUAGAGCAAAGAAGAGGAGAGUGGAAUUUCAGGUGUAGCGGUGAAAUGCGUAGAUAUCUGAAGGAACACCAGUGGCGAAGGCGACUCUCUGGUCUUUAGCUGACGCUGAGGCACGAAAGCGUGGGGAGCAAACAGG